GACGAACGCUGGCGGCGUGCUUAACACAUGCAAGUCGUACGGUAAGGCCCUUUCGGGGGUCCACGAGUGGCGAACGGGUGAGUAACACGUGAGUAACCUGCCCACAACUUUGGGAUAACGCUAGGAAACUGGUGCUAAUACUGGAUAUGUGCUCCUGCUGCAUGGUGGGGGUUGGAAAGCUCCGGCGGUUGUGGAUGGACUCGCGGCCUAUCAGCUUGUUGGUGGGGUAGUGGCCUACCAAGGCGGCGACGGGUAGCCGGCCUGAGAGGGUGACCGGCCACAUUGGGACUGAGAUACGGCCCAGACUGCUACGAGAGGCAGAAGUGGGGAAUAUUGCACAAUGGGCGCAAGCCUGAUGCAGCAACGCCGCGGGCGGGAGGACGGCCUUCGGGUUGUAAACCGCUUUCAGCAGGGACGAAGCUUUUUGUGACGGUACCUGCAGAAGAAGCACCGGCUAACUACGUG
rnacentral:rRNA from 1 species